AGGUGAGAAGGGAGACAUUUAGGAUCUGGGGCUAAGCUGGCACAGAUUCUCCUUCCUGUUCUAAGGAGGCUAGAAGUGCAUCCUGGCGAUGGCUGUGGAGGGAGAGGACCGGCUGUCUGGAUGCUGGUCAGUGUGUGGAAACAGAGGGGGCUGUGCUGCCAACCCAGGCAUCUAUGACAUCAGAUACCCUCAGCCUGGAGGGAGUAAAGAGCCCUCUUUCCCAGCCGGUCUGGACUCUGAUGACUAGAUUUCCUUACAGCCAUUCAUCAAAACAGGAACUGCCCUCAUCCUACAAAAUGGCUUUUCAACCAGGACAAGAGCACAGCUCUAGGGGAGAAAUUGCCUCUGGCUCCCUGAACUUCCGGUGGCACCUACCGUCUUAACACAUUAGCUCAACACCUGCCAGUGCUGUCCUCAGAAACCUUAAUGGGACAUGGGCAUCAUCCCUCACACUGCGGACAGCCUACCAAACGGGAAGGAAUUGCUCAUCCCCAGACACGAAUUCCUUCCAACUUGAUGGGGUGGGGUGUUGGGGAGAUGGGGCAGGUCUUCCCCAGGAAACCCUUCAUUUCCCAUCAUCCCUGACUUAGAAGAUAAGUCCCUUGUGAAUCCCUCUGAAAGUGUUCCUGGGUUGCUGCAUUGUCUCAGCCUCCUUCACACAGAUGCCUUUGCUCCUUCAGCCUGGCACUUCCUGAGCAGCUCCUAGCCGCCAUGCCUCUCACCCAGGCCAGCCUGACUGCCGACCACCAUUCCCAGACCCUGCGCCGCUGAGGGAUCCCAGCCAGGCUGGUCCCCAGACCUCUGCACACCACAACCCUAACGACCUCCGAGGAUGGGUCUCCCUCAAGAGGCGGGAUUUGUCACUCUUCCAAAUGGCCACCAGGUCCUGGAUGGAGUUUCAGCCUUGUUGCCCAGGCUGGAGUGCGAUGGCACCACCUCGGCUCACUGCAACCUCCACCUCCUGGGUUCAAGCGAUUCUCCUGCCCCAGCCUCCCAAGUAGCUGGGACUACAGGCUAAUGGAAUGCUAAGGCCAGAACUGUACCCUACCAACCUCAGAUGUGGAAACAGAGGUUCUUGAAGGACAAGACUUGCCUAAGGUCUCACUAACCAAACGGUCCUUCCACGACCUAUUCUAUGAUGGCACAUGCCAAUGGAGGGCAAUUUUUCAUCCAGGAAUGUGACUCUCAGGGAAGUUCUCUGUCCUAUGAAAGGUAUGCCACUUGGUGCAUGAUGGGGACCACACAAGAUGACAAGAAGGGUAGGCAGUGUCUGUCAUCUCCACCCUCCCCAGCUUGUUUGAGGCCCAACAUCUGGGGUGUUGUGGAAGAAGAAUCAGGUUCUAUUGAUGUUUCCCCUGGCCUAAUGGCCCCUCCUCAAUCCCAGCGGUAUAUCCCCCAUGGAGGAAAGCUGUAAAGAAGCUCCAACAUUUAGUUGAGAAUGUUCAUUGCCCCUUCUUAAAAGACUAAGGGGACGGGUGUGGUGGCUCAUGCCUGUAAUCCCAGCACUUUGGGAGGCCAAGGCGGGCAGAUCACCUGCGGUCAGGAGUUCGAGACCAGCCUGGCCAACAUGGUGAAACCCCGUCUCUACUAAAAAUACAAAAAUUAGCCAGGCCUGGUGGCAUAUGCCUGUAAUCCCAGCUACUCGAGAGGCUCUGAGGCAGGAUAAUCACUUGAACCCAGGAGGUGGAGGUUGCAGUGAGCUGAGACUGUGCCACUGAACUCUAGCCUGGGCGACAAGAGCAAAACUCCAUCUCAAAAAUAAAUAAAAAGAGACUAAGGGCCUAUACCUUAAUGUGUUGCCAUGUUGAAGAAGAGGAAGAGAGGGUAGCAAUCCAAUUAGAAUUAAGAAAUUUAGGCCGGGCGCGGUGGCUCACGCUUGUAGUCCCAGCACUUUGGGAGGCUGAGGCAGGUAGAUCAUGAGGUCAGGAGUUCGAGACAAGCCUGGCCAACAUGGUGGAACCCUGUCUCUACCAAAAAAAACACAAAAAUUAGCCGGGCGUGAUGGCACAUAACUGUAAUCCCAGCUGCUCGGGAGGCUGAGGGAGGAGAAUCGCUGGAACCCGGGAGGCAGAGGUUGCAGUGAGCCGAGAUCGCGCCACUGCACUCCAGCCUGGGCGACAGAGCAAGACUCCGUCUCAAAAAAAAAGAAAAAAAGAAAUUUUAGAGUGUAAGGUAAACAGGGGAGAUG